rnacentral:lncRNA from 1 species
AAAAAAAUUCAAGACAGAACAUGAAAUUCAACAUGAAUCAACCUCAAUCAAUUAAGAACACAAUCCAAAAGGUCUCAUGUCAAUAUCAUUCACCAAAUCCAUUUCAUGAACUAAAUAGGGCAAGGUAUGCUAGUUGUGAUCACAUUGUGACAACAGAAUGAACAAAUGCACAUUAAAUCAAAAAUGAUUCCAAUAAUUUCAACAAAAUUCAUGAGUAAACAGUACAUACAACAUGAUCAUCACACAAAAAAU